rnacentral:ribozyme from 1 species
AUUAAACUAGGAGAGGGCAAGUCGAAGAAGAUUCAUCGUUUUUUCGAGCUUGUUGCUAAUACUUUAGACGUCACAAGAAAGAAAAAAGUCAAAGAAUUCAUUGCU